ACCUGGCUGGCUCAGUCAGUAGAGCAUGUGACUUUUGAUCUCAGGGUUGUAAGUUCGAGCCCCACGCUGGGUG
rnacentral:tRNA from 1 species